GGCCGCCUGGCGUAAUGGCAACGCGUCUGACUACGAUAUGCAGUAAAUGCAUCGGUAAUCAGGAGAUUGCAGGUUCGACCCCUGCGGUGGUCA